rnacentral:lncRNA from 1 species
AUCACUUCAAAAUCACUGUAACUCUCAAUACAACCUCUCUCUCUCUUAAAAGCGAGAAAUGUCAACGUGCCUCAGCUGCCACGAGCAAUUUCUCAUCUCUCCGAAUAUGCCGGUAGGUUUAAAUAUACGAUGCAUUAUUCAUUCUAAUUGAGAUUUACGAUUAAGGUUUAUUAAUAAAAAUUUAUUAGGAAAGAUGUUGUGUGAUGAAGCUAGUGGAAGGCGACUCAUCAAGGAAGAUAAUAGCAAUCAUCUGCGGAUCAAGCAAGUGGGAGAGACACAACGUGAGAAUCG